rnacentral:lncRNA from 1 species
GUAUUAAUAUUACUUUUCAUUUAGUUUUACCCAUCUUUCAAUUAAAUAUGAUAACGUGUGAAAACGAGAACAAGCAGUGUCUUUCUUGUCGAGUCUUUUACUCUUUGAGCAAACGAAUUACAAUAAUAGACAUUCUUUUAUAAAUUUUAGGUUUAAUUACCUAUUUAGUCUUCAAGUUGGGGACUGAAUUUUCGUUUGAUACCCGGUUUUAAAAGUGAUUUAAUUAGGUUCUCAGGUUUUUGAUUUUGUUUUCAAUCGGUCCUUUCCGUUAAGUAACUUGUUUUGGCGUUAAAUAUUAAGUGAUCUGUCACCUGAUAUAUGUGUCGUGGCAAUGAGGUGGGCCAUUUUAUUGAACGUGGUUGACAAUGAAUAAGCCAAUUAUUGACGUGUGUUAUCAGAAUUUGGAGUUUUUUAAAAUUAGGGUUUUUUAAUCAGAAUUUGGGGUUUUUGACAUUUGGGUGUUUUAUCAGAAAGUGUGAUUGUGGAAGGUUCGAGUAGAGGUUUCCAGGAUUGGCGUUCUCGAUCCAGACUGUGGAGCGAAUAGGGUUCGUGAAGGCUACUGUUGAGGGAAAAGGUUUGAGAGUGGUAUUUGUUCGAAGCAAAAAGGGCGAAAAGGUGCGCAUGUUUACUUGUUUUUCUGUUCCCCUACUAUGUUGUGUUGUUGUCCCCCUUUUGUGUGUUCUGCGUACCAUUUAAUGCUUUCUUUUUGGACUGUUCCCUUUGUUUAAUGUUUUCCUUUUUGUUGUGGUUACUGUUUGUAAGGUUUGGUCCCCUUAGUAAGUACUAUUUUGUCUUUUGUUUUGUGGAAUGUGUGGUUGUUUUUUAAGGUGUGGGUCAUGCACAUGCAUUUAAGCUUUUAAGACAAAAUGGAAUGUUGUGGGUUGUGGGUGUAGGUGAAAGAGUUAUUGCUUGUGAUAAAGUUAAAUUUUGUUUGCCUACACGUGUAAUACUUNN